UAUAUAAAGGUGUAAGAUGCACAUUAGUUUUUGAUACUAAGGGUGAUAGUUUAAUUCUAUUUUAUAUAA
rnacentral:tRNA from 1 species